rnacentral:lncRNA from 1 species
CUUUUAUAUUAGUAUGGCUUCUUGACAGGCCAAGGAAAUCAAAACAACAAAAAUUUAGAGUGAAUAAAUAAUUUUUCCAAGGUCACAGAAUUAGUAAGAGGCAGAGGUGGGAGUUGAACUCAGAUCUACCUAGUUCUGAAGUCUGAUCAAUCAUAUAGCAGCUGAAUGGGAGCAAGAAGGGAGAAAAAUCAUGAGUUAAAUUAAUUAAAUUGGGUGAGAGCAUUUGAAGCGUAGGUUGAACCACAGAUUUUGAUUUCAUUUUGCAUUCUAAACUGUCUAAACGGCCCCCCACCCCACGCCAAUUAAUUCCACAGGUAUAAGCAACCGUUCAUGUGAAAAAAGCCAGGGGAUUUAGCUGGCCACAAGUUCAGUGAGCCAUCAGGCAGCUGGUGCUGCUAAGAAGGGAAGGCCUCCUUAGUUUGCAUUAAUAGAAUUAUGGAGAGAUCACAGGAGGUAAUAGACCUGCUGUGCUUUGUCCUGUUUAGAAUUUUUCUUGGGGAAUGUGAAACCUUCAUCCGCUGCUGGUGCGAGUG